UACGUAGGGGGCAAGCGUUGUCCGGAAUCACUGGGCGUAAAGGGCGCGUAGGCGGCCAUUCAAGUCGGAGGUGAAAGCCCAGGGCUCAACCCUGGAAUUGCCUUCGAUACUGUUUGGCUAGAGACCGGAAGAGGUAAGUGGAACUGCGAGUGUAGAGGUGAAAUUCGUAGAUAUUCGCAAGAACACCAGUGGCGAAGGCGGACUUACUGGUCCGGUUCUGACGCUGAGGCGCGAAAGCGUGGGGAGCAAACAGG
rnacentral:rRNA from 1 species